UACAGAGGUCUCAAGCGUUGUUCGGAUUCAUUGGGCGUAAAGGGUGUGUAGGUGGCGCCGUAAGUCGGGGUGUGAAAUUUCGGAGCUUAACUCCGAAACUGCAUUCGAUACUGCGGUGCUUGAGGACUGGAGAGGAGACUGGAAUUCAUGGUGUAGCAGUGAAAUGCGUAGAGAUCAUGAGGAAGACCAGUGGCGAAGGCGGGUCUCUGGACAGUUCCUGACACUGAGACACGAAGGCCAGGGGGAGCAAAACGGG
rnacentral:rRNA from 1 species